AUCGGAGCAGUCCUUGUCCACUUUGUCCCGGACCUGCCAGAGGCCGCAGUAUCCAAAACACAAGAAUUUCACCCAGAUUCUUGAGAACAAAGUUGUCAAAAUGGUGCCAAAAAGUAGAAAAGAAGCAAAAAUCAGGGCCCCAGGUUAAGAGCCCAAGCCCACGGACUGAAUUCCUGCUGAGGGGAAGCUCUCACUCUGCAGGCUGACGAAGUCCCGGCUCUGGACCAGAAUAGAACAGCGGCUCUUACCUCAUCCUGUGGCUUCGAAGUUCAGAUGAGACCAAGUGUUUUGCAAACUUUAAAAAGACCCCAUUGGUGUCAGCCAUCAUUGGAAAGAGUAGGGGAACCUGGACCCCUGCUUGUGGUCCUUCUGUUGCGGUGGGAAGGGGGCCCCAAAACUUCCCACUCCGGAGGUGACUCACCACAGUCCUAGUCAAGGAGCAGAGUUUCUCGAAAGUGCUCUGGCUCUGAGGCUUCCUGUGCUCAGGCCUGAGCAUCCUCAGAAGCAGGGGCAGGACUCUCCUCAGCCCGGCCUCUGGUGGGCGGCCUUCUGGCCCCUGCCGGGCUCCGGCUUCCCUCCGGUGGCCGCUCUGCUCCUCCCAGCCUGAGUUCUGGCGGAGCUGGCUGGAGACAGACCGGGCGCCCUCCCCCGCCUCCUCCGGGGCGCCGACCGAGGGAGAAUCCCGGGCGCUGGAGCUGGAGGGGCUCGUUGGCGUCAUGUGAGGGAGAGCCAGGUCCGGAUAGAGUUAGGGCCUCAGCUGCCGCCCCUGUUCUUCACAAUCUCCUCCCGGUUUCCGGUUCCUGUCCCGUCCCACGGCAGUCUCUAGUUUGGUGACGGCUAAAGCCGGGGAAACUCUCCCGAUCCCACAGCUCCGGCGAGAGCACCGGGGGGAGCACUCUGGGCCAGGUGCAGUCACCGACUCCACAACUCCUCCUUCUCCCACCUCACACAGCCGGGGCAGGCCCCGGUCAAAAAGAGGUUUCUGGGACUUCUUAAAGUAAACUUUCUUAUAAAUAAACGAUUUAAAAUAACUUUUAAAAAAUAAACUCUAAAGUUCA